GGUUUCGGUAAGAGAACUCCGAAACAAAGUAGGCAAUGAAAAUUCUAUCUGUGUUCGGAUACUGCCAAACAAUUAAUUGUUGUUUUUAAAGGGAUUCGGAGCAGUGGUUCCGAAAUUAGAUUGAGAUGAUGAAAAAUAUUAUUUAACAAAAAAAAAGAAUCGAUAGUCUCGUCAGUGAAAUCGAUUUUUUCACAGCUCUAAUGGAAGCUGAAGUAUUCACAAGUGUUUUGCAAUGUAAUUUAUUAAAUAUUGUUAAAGGACGAUGUGAACGGAAGUCCAUUAUAUAUUCAGUAUUUGUUUUCUUCUUAAUUGAUUGACGAGGCAACAGCCGGAAGGAAAGACACGUAACAUACGUUUAGGGGAAAUGCAAGAAGUUAUGCUAAGAAAAAUUGUUGUAAUUAUUGAACAAAUUAUAAAGUUUUUUAAAUUAAUAAAAAAAUGUAUUAUAAAUUGCGUCAGAUAUUUACUAUGAGGCGGGGGUUACAGGGAUCUUCUACACGUUUUCUUGGGAUUCCAAUCUGAUUCUACUCUAAAUUCCACUACGAUUCUUUGGUGACUCCUUUGAGAGUCCUACCUGAUUCUACUCUGAAUUCCCCUACGAUUACUGCCUGAUUCCGUCCCAAAUUCCUGGAUGAUUCUGUUCAGAAUCCCUUCUGAUUCAGGGGGGAAAUCGUGCCGAAAUUCACGACAAAUUCCUGGCAGGAUUCCUUUAUGAUUCCCUGAAAAUUCCUCGGGUAGUCCGAAUUCAGGUUUGCUAACGCCUGGAUGGCUUUUAUGAAAGCUCCCUAAUGAUUCAGGAUGGAGUCCUGUCUAUUCCAACCUGAUUCAGACCGGAAUCCUAAGGGAAUGGUACUGAAGGGUUGUUAUAGAACAUUUUGCUGUCACCCCAAAUUCCUGGCGAGAGUGGAGAAAUUAUUACAAGAGAGAGACUAUAUCAGGGAGAGAGGUAAAAAGUAAAAACCAAGUCCCGAGUACUAGCAGAAACGAAGAAGGCGUUUAAUAGCCUUGCUGAGAAUAAUGAUGUACAAGUUACCUGGGUACCGGAUCACAACCAACAUCCGAGGGAGCGAAAAAACAGACAAAUUAGCCAGAGCAAUCUCUGCAGGCCUAAUCACUGACAAAAAUACCGAUUUCACUAAAAUCGGAUACAAGUUCCACGAGGAAACGCAGGGGAUUACAGAAAUGUUGGGCAAAUUUUGAUAGCGCCAAUGAAACGAUCGUAACCACAGCUGCUACUUGC